CACGCGCUAAGCGCGUGUUAAAUUACUUUCUCUAUUUUAGAAGCUUUUUAGGUGAUUCCCCAUUCCAAAAAGUCGCGUGUUUUAGGGUUAGGGCUCUUAGUUUUCUCUCUCCCCAAUUUCUCUGAUCUAUUCUAAUUUCAGGCGUUAACAUGUCUUCCAAGCAAGGUGGUAAAGCGAAGCCUUUGAAGCAACCUAAAACUGCAAAGAAAGAAUAUGACGAGGUUGAUAUGGCUAACAUUCAGAAAAAGAAGGAAGAAGAGAAGGCUCUUAAGGAGCUGAAAGCAAAGGCACAAAAGGGGCCGGUUGGUGGUGCAGGACUUAAGAAGAGUGGGAAGAAAUGAGGAUUUAAAACUCAUCAAAUCACAAACUGCUGUGGCUUGUGUUUGUGAGUAAAACUUCUAUUCUGAUGACAUCCUUUGUUUUAGUUUGAUGGGCUAGGACAUCAUUUGGAAUGAUCUGAUGCUCUAGUUUCAUAAUUUAAUUUGCCGCAAAACCUUUUGUGAAAGUUCGAUAUUGUAAAACUUAAUAAACUGAAGUUGUAUACUGUUUGUGCUUUUGUGUCUGCGUUUUCAUAUUA